rnacentral:lncRNA from 1 species
GUGUGGUCAUGUCUGUGGACUGACUAGGACAAGGAAGCUCACACAUGUCCACAUGAGGACUGAGACUCACAAGACACAUGUCCACUGGACAGAAAGUCCCUGCACACACCUGCACACAUCUGUACAUUGUAUAGGUACCCUGGACCCAUCCUAAUAAUAUUCCUUGGAUAACUAGGAAUAUAUGAACUUCCCAAGCCACACACAAGUACUGUGCCUAAGCUAUGCAGUAUGCAUGAAAACAUAUACUGGGCACAUACCAAUGCUCUGUACAUGCAUUUAUAUGAAAUAUCAUGCACAGCUUCUUGUAUGCAGACUUCGAUUGAGUGCUGGAAGCCCAGUACUCAGAUUUGUGCACAUAUACACCACCUACAGCAAGCAUACAAGUUCUUCCUGCAAAGACCAGUAGUACCCACACAGGCAGUGACAGAGUGGAGAGGAAAAGGUGCUUACGAAGAAAAUGAUUGUCUGCUGAACAAAAAACAGUAG